rnacentral:rRNA from 1 species
CACUCUAGAGAGACUGCCAGGGAUAACCUGGAGGAAGGUGGGGAUGACGUCAAAUCAUCAUGCCCCUUAUGCUUAGGGCUACACACGUGCUACAAUGGGUAGUACAGAGGGUUGCCAAGCCGUAAGGUGGAGCUAAUCCCUUAAAGCUACUCUUAGUUCGGAUUGUAGGCUGAAACUCGCCUACAUGAAGCUGGAGUUACUAGGAAUCGCAGAUCAGAAUGCUGCGGUGAAUGCGUUCCCGGGUCUUGUACACACCGCCCGUCACACCACGGGAGUUGGGGACGCCCGAAGCCGAUUAUCUAACCUUUUGGAAGAAGUCGUCGAAGGUGGAAUCAAUAGCGGGGGUGAAGUCGUAACAAGGUAGCCGUAUCGGAAGGUGCGGCUGGAUCACCUCCUUUCUAAGGAGA